UACGUAGGGUGCAAGCGUUGUCCGGAAUUAUUGGGCGUAAAGAGCUCGUAGGCGGUCUGUCGCGUCUGCUGUGAAAACUCAGGGCUUAACCCUGAGCUUGCAGUGGGUACGGGCAGACUAGAGUGUGGUAGGGGAGACUGGAAUUCCUGGUGUAGCGGUGAAAUGCGCAGAUAUCAGGAGGAACACCGAUGGCGAAGGCAGGUCUCUGGGCCACUACUGACGC
rnacentral:rRNA from 1 species